GGGCAUAUUUGGCAGAAGAAGAAGAUAAAGAAGAAGCGGGAAGAAGAUCAGCUCUCCCAAAGAAGAAGAGGCAAAAGAGAUCGGCGUGAGAGAGACCGACGAAACUGAUUUUGGGUGCAAGGGAUGAUCUCAAAACGCAGCGUUUCAGGUAUUGGAGGAGCCAUCAGAAACUCAAAUAUUCAGGAUGCAAGAUGGUCUUCAAACUCCCGGGGUGAGUAGCCAAAGGCUGUCUAUUGGAAUGACACCAAAAACAUUGAGGCUGAGAUGCUAUUAUCUGUACAUGGCUCACCCCUUGGAGUCUACAAAGAAGACAAUAUGGAAGCCAUACAUGAAUCAGAAGAGGGUUGACUGGCUUCACUUUUACCAUUAACGUGGUUCAAAUUUAUGCAAAUACUUGCAAUUUCAAGUCCUUUGGAAUGUUUCUCUUUCAUUGUGCGAAUGACUAUUGCUGAAGCAGCUGCAAUUCUUUGGGUGUUGCAACUAGCAAAAUCAGAAAACACUAAGAGAAUUGUAGUGGAGGGUGAUGCUAAAAAUUAUUUUGAUGCCAUUAAAGAUGGUUGGACACAUGCUGCGUGGCCUGUCCAAACUCUAAUUUGCGAUAUAUUAGCAGGGCUGGCUUAAUGUAUUUGGAGGCCUAAGGCAAAAAUUGAUUAUCUUAUUUUAUAUGUAAAAUUACUACUAAUUAACAAAAACUACGUAGAAUUUUUUUUUUUU